AAAUUGAAGAGUUUGAUCAUUGCUCAGAUUGAACGCUGGCGGCAGGCCUAACACAUGCAAGUCGAACGGUAGCACAGAGAGCUUGCUCUCGGGUGACGAGUGGCGGACGGGUGAGUAAUGUCUGGGAAACUGCCUGAUGGAGGGGGAUAACUACUGGAAACGGUGGCUAAUACCGCAUAACGUCGCAAGACCAAAGAGGGGGACCUUCGGGCCUCUUGCCAUCAGAUGUGCCCAGAUGGGAUUAGCUAGUUGGUGAGGUAACGGCUCACCAAGGCGACGAUCCCUAGCUGGUCUGAGAGGAUGACCAGCCACACUGGAACUGAGACACGGUCCAGACUCCUACGGGAGGCAGCAGUGGGGAAUAUUGCACAAUGGGCGCAAGCCUGAUGCAGCCAUGCCGCGUGUAUGAAGAAGGCCUUCGGGUUGUAAAGUACUUUCAGCGGGGAGG
rnacentral:rRNA from 1 species